rnacentral:rRNA from 1 species
GACGAACGCUGGAGGCGUGCUUAACACAUGCAAGUCGAACGAUGAAAUGGAGCUUGCUCCAUGGAUUAGUGGCGAACGGGUGAGUAACACGUGAAUAACCUGCCCUUAAUUUUGGAAUAACCCAGGGAAACCUGGGCUAAUACCGGAUAAGUAAACCUGUGGCAUCACAUGGUUUUGGAAAGUUUUUCGAUUAAGGAUGGAUUCGCGGCCUAUCAGCUUGUUGGUGAGGUAAUGGCUCACCAAGGCGACGACGGGUAGCCGGCCUGAGAGGGUGAACGGCCACACUGGGACUGAGACAAGGCCCAGACUCCUACGGGAGGCAGCAGUGGGGAAUAUUGCGCAAUGGACGAAAGUCUGACGCAGCGACGCCUCGUGAGGGACGAAGGUCUUCGGAUUGUAAACCUCUUUCAGCAGGGACGAAGCGAAAGUGACGGUACCUGCAGAAGAAGCACCGGCUAACUAUGUGCCAGCCGCCGCCGUAAUAC